rnacentral:rRNA from 1 species
CCUACGGGUGGCUGCAGUGAGGAAUAUUGGUCAAUGGGCGCGAGCCUGAACCAGCCAAGUCGCGUGAGGGAGGACGGCCCUACGGGUUGUAAACCUCUUUUGCCGGGGAGCAACGGGCGUCACGUGUGGCGCCCCUGAGAGUACCCGGAGAAAAAGCAUCGGCUAACUCCGUGCCAGCAGCCGCGGUAAUACGGAGGAUGCGAGCGUUAUCCGGAUUUAUUGGGUUUAAAGGGUGCGUAGGCGGAUCGUUAAGUCAGUGGUCAAAUUGAGGGGCUCAACCCCUUCCCGCCAUUGAAACUGGCGCUCUUGAGUGCGGCGGAGGCAUGCGGAAUGCGCGGUGUAGCGGUGAAAUGCAUAGAUAUCGCGCAGAACCCCGAUUGCGAAGGCAGCGUGCCGUGCCGCCACUGACGCUGAGGCACGAAAGCGCGGGGAUCGAACAGGAUUAGAUACCCUAGUAGUC